UGCAGAGGGUGCGAGCGUUAAUCGGAAUUACUGGGCGUAAAGCGUGCGUAGACGGUUAUUUAAGUCGGGUGUGAAAGCCCCGGGCUCAACCUGGGAAUUGCAUUCGAGACUGAAUAGCUAGGGUACGGUAGAGGGAAGCGGAAUUUCCGGUGUAGCGGUGAAAUGCGUAGAUAUCGGAAGGAACAUCAGUGGCGAAAGCGGCUUCCUGGACCAGCACUGACGUUCAGGCACGAAAGCGUGGGGAGCAAACAGG
rnacentral:rRNA from 1 species